CAGCCUUACCACUGACUGGUAGGAAUCAUGAAGAAUUUAGAAUUAGAAUUAGAAUUAAAAAGUCAUUGUGUAUUGCUGUCUGUGUGGAAGGGAGUCAAUGAUCUAAGAAAUGCUCCCUGACCACAGACUACUGUUGCAGACUAGACACAAAUCAUUAGAUGUCGACCUGCACAUACACUCAUAACACCUAAGAAGGCCAUGUCAUGUCACUGAGAUCAGUACAGAAUGUGCUAUACAGAGACACAAACAUGUUCUUCUGUUCAAGAGGACGAGUCUGCGAGUGUUGUCUAAUUUCCACGACAAAACAACAAAUUACCAGUAGACAGACACCCACAGUGACCAUUACAGUUUCCAUUAAAACCAAUACUAGUCCCAUUAAAACCAUUACAAAUUCUAUGAGGGUUUCUGUAUUUUUUGCAGCAGAUCUGCAUGGUGGUCAAGACUGUAAUCAAGUUAAGUGGGAUUUUAUUGUCAUUCCUCUAGCCUAUAUACUGUAACUAGUACACAUCAGAACUAAAUGUUGUUUCUCCAGAACCACGGUGCAGUACAGAGCAGUACACAAUGACAAAGUGCACUACACAACAGUGUGAGACGAGGGACAAUAAAUACACAGAACAACCAACCAGAUGCCACUCCUGAGUCUAUUGAUAGGCCAAGAUCCACUGAAUAAACAUCUGGAAUAAGGUUGAUUUGGAAGGAAAACCUGCAUCCACACCGGCCCUUUGUGGAUAAGAUCCAGAUGUCCAAACAGCUGAGUCCGUGGCAGUCUUCAAACAACUUCUAAAGACAUACUUCUUCCUGAAGUACUUCAAUUAGCACUUUAAAUA